rnacentral:lncRNA from 1 species
UGCUGUAUUAUCUCUUUUGACUUUAUUUUGUAAGGAUUCUAAAUGCUGCAAUGGUGCUGUAUUAUCUCUUUUGACUUUAUUUUGUAAGGAUUCUAAAUGCUGCAAUGGUGCUGUAUUAUCUCUAUUGACUUUAUUUUGUAAGGAAUCUAAAUGCUGCAAUGGUGCUGUAUUAUCUCUAUUGACUUUAUUUUGUAAGGAAUCUAAAUGCUGCAAUGGUGCUG